rnacentral:lncRNA from 13 species
AUGCCGAGAAUGGAAGCAGGAGACCAUAUUCUUUGUGGGCAUGUGGUGGUCGAUGUAAUGCCGAGAAUGGAAGCAGGAGACCAUAUUCUUUGUGGGCAUGUGGUGGUCGAUGUAAUGCCGAGAAUGGAAGCAGGAGACCAUAUUCUUUGUGGGCAUGUGGUGGUCGAUGUAAUGCCGAGAAUGGAAGCAGGAGACCAUAUUCUUUGUGGGCAUGUGGUGGUCGAUGUAAUGCCGAGAAUGGAAGCAGGAGACCAUAUUCUUUGUGGGCAUGUGGUGGUCGAUGUAAUGCCGAGAAUGGAAGCAGGAGACCAUAUUCUUUGUGGGCAUGUGGUGGUCGAUGUAAUGCCGAGAAUGGAAGCAGGAGACCAUAUUCUUUGUGGGCAUGUGGUGGUCGAUGUAAUGCCGAGAAUGGAAGCAGGAGACCAUAUUCUUUGUGGGCAUGUGGUGGUCGAUGUAAUGCCGAGAAUGGAAGCAGGAGACCAUAUUCUUUGUGGGCAUGUGGUGGUCGAUGUAAUGCCGAGAAUNNNNNNNNNNNNNNNNNNNNNNNNNNNNNAUAUGAUCUGUAGAGCAGCCAGGGGGAAUAAUAAUAACAAUAUGAUCUGUAGAGCAGCCAGGGGGAAUAAUAAUAACAAUAUGAUCUGUAGAGCAGCCAGGGGGAAUAAUAAUAACAAUAUGAUCUGUAGAGCAGCCAGGGGGAAUAAUAAUAACAAUAUGAUCUGUAGAGCAGCCAGGGGGAAUAAUAAUAACAAUAUGAUCUGUAGAGCAGCCAGGGGGAAUAAUAAUAACAAUAUGAUCUGUAGAGCAGCCAGGGGGAAUAAUAAUAACAAUAUGAUCUGUAGAGCAGCCAGGGGGAAUAAUAAUAACAAUAUGAUCUGUAGAUUAGCCAGGGGGCAUAAUAACGAUAUGAUCUGUAGAGCAGCCAGGGGGCAUAAUAACGAUAUGAUCUGUAGAGCAGCCAAGGGGCAUAAACACACCUAUGAAUGGAAGUCACCGUUCCAGACAGAGUUGCAUGGCGAGCUCCUUAGUGUCUCAUUAGUUUGUAAUCACAAGCAAUGUUUUGCAUGGACCAUUUCCUGA